UGGGAUCAGAUCCUUGAGUGGGAAUGGGAUCGAGAAUGGGAUUGGGAAUGGGACUGGGAAUGGGAUUGGGAAUGGGAAUUCCUGCUUGGGAAAACACAUGGGGGUGCUGAUGGUGAGAAUGUGGCUGGAUCCUCACACGGGAAUGGGACCAGGAAUGGGAUUGGGAAUGGGAAUCAGGAAUGGGAAUCAGGAAUGGGAAUUUCUACUUGGGAAAACACGUGGGGGUGCUGGGAUGGUGGGAAUGGGGCCAGAGCCUCGCACGGGAAUGGGAUCGGGAAUGGGAUUGGGAAUGGGAUUGGGAAUGGGAUUGGGAAGCCACGAGAGCCCUAAUGAUGAAUUAUUUAAGGCCGCAGCUCUCUCUGUGUUUCAUUUUGGGGCGCCACCAGCGCAGGCCCAGCGCGGGAGGUGACACCGCUGUCACCAAGGUCCCCCUGGCAGCGCCACCGCUCCAAGGUUCCACCCUCUGAGCUGCCCCUCUGUGACAUCAGCCCGGGCUGGUGGCACCGCCAGGGCCACCAGAGGUGACAGCUCCGCUCUGUCUCUGCCACCUGCGCUGGCACCGAUGGCUCUGCUGGCCCUGCUCGUCCUGCUGGCCCUGGCCGGGCCCGUGGGGGGCACGUGGGACACCUGCAGAGGGACCUGCGGGCUCCGGCCCAUGGCCUUCGACCACAGCUCUGAGCUUCUGGAAUAUUCCUUGGAUGGAGAUUACAAACCUUUGGAUGGAGCCUCACAGGACGGGGGUGGCACCGGGGUGCACCCAGGGGCCUGGCCCGGCAUCGUCAGCGUCCAGGCCCGGCUGGAGAACGGCACGUGGCACAUGUGCUCCGGGGCCCUCAUCCACCCUCAGUGGGUGCUCACGGUCGCACACUGCUUCGUGGGGACUGGGGACACCUCCAGGUGGGAAGUGGUGAUCGGAGCCACGGAUCUGAGCCAGCCGGGCCCCGAAGCCGAGCUGCGCCACAUCCUGAGGCUCCUGGUGCACCAAUAUUACAACCCGGCCACGGCCAGGAACAACAUCGCCCUGCUGGAGCUGGACCAGCCCGUGGAGUGCAGCGACUACAUCCAGCUGGGCUGCGUGCCCGACAGCUCCCUGGCAGUGGCCGAGCUCAGAACCUGCUUCAUCGCGGGCUGGAGAGCCAGCCCGGACAGCGCUCCCGGGCCGCGCCUGGUGCUGCAGGAGGCCAAGGUGCGGCUCAUCGACGUCCAGCUGUGCAACAGCAGCCGCUGGUACGGGGGGGCCGUGCACCCCCAGGACCUGUGCGCGGGGUACCCGCGGGGCGGCAUCGACACCUGCCAGGGGGACAUCGGGGGCCCCCUGGUCUGCAAGGACAACGUUGGUGACUACUUCUGGCUGGUGGGACUGGCCAGCUGGGGCCGAGGCUGCGCCGGGGCCAAGCGACCCGGGGUGUUCACGUCCAGCCAGCACUUCCACACCUGGAUCCAGGUCCAGAUGGGUUUGCUCCCACCAGAAGCUGAUGUUCCUCCACCAGAGCCCCUCCCAACCCUGUCCCUGGAGCUGGAGCUGGAGCCGGAGCCAGAGCCAGACUCGGAUUUUAGCGGUCUGGAGAAUCCCAACCCGGCGGACACGGGGGAAUCUACGGACCUUUCCUACCAACAACAGAUCCUGGGGAAAUUCCUGAACCUGCUGCUGGAGCUCCUGCAGUUCCUGAAAGGAAAGAAAGCCUGAGCAGCGGGAUGGGCUGAUCCAGCUGUGGCGAGCGUUCCCUGCCGGGGCAGUGGCCGCGGGGCCAAGAUCAAUCUUCUUGGCAUCGCUGGGUUCUAUAUCCUCUGAUAACGGGUGAAAUAAAUCUUUCUCUUGGAGAUCUUGGAGGAAAAGAUAAUUUUAAGAAUGCAGGGGCGUCUCUGACUGUCUUUUCAGUCUUUGGGUUAUAUAAACAAAAGAAGUUU